rnacentral:rRNA from 1 species
CGUAGGUGGCGAGCGUUGUCCGGAUUUACUGGGCGUAAAGGGAGCGUAGGCGGACUUUAAGUGAGAUGUGAAAUACCCGGGCUCAACUUGGGUGCUGCAUUUCAAACUGGAAGUCUAGAGUGCAGGAGAGGAGAAUGGAAUUCCUAGUGUAGCGGUGAAAUGCGUAGAGAUUAGGAAGAACACCAGUGGCGAAGGCGAUUCUCUGGACUGUAACUGGCGCUGAGGCUCGAAAGCGUGGGAGCAAACAGGAUU